GGUGUAGAGGCUCCUUUAAUUACUUAGUAAAUAUUCCAGGUGAUUCUUAUGAUCAGGAAGAUUGGGGAAACACUAGCGCCCUAUUUAUAGAUUUGUCUGCAGAGUGGAAUCACUGAGGAAACUUCAAAAAUUAGCAAAUCUUCUGUCCCACCCAAGACUGAUUUGAUUGAUUGUGCUGCUCUGUGCCCUAGGGAUUGGAUAUUUAAAGAUUCUCCCGGUGAUUCCAAUGGACAAAUGAGUUGGGGGAAUACUUCACUUUGUUACCGGGAUGUGGCACACAAGGAAGGCGUCACAAAGCCAAUGCCAUCCAAGGACUCCCCUGCUCGGAUCCAUCAAAAACCUACCAGAUAAAGGUAUUUCAGUCAGACAGCUUGGCAUUCUUCAGAGAACUCUCUAAUACAAGGUCUUGACUUAUCCUGGAAACAUCACAACCAAACUGGAGAUAGCUGAGGCAGUGGGGCUGCACUGAAGAUGAAGGAACUGUCUUGCAGAAAGUUUAAGCGGCUUUUCUGAAAGCACACAGUCAUCUAAGUGGCCUGAUGCUUCAAUUUUUUUUUCCCGGUGAGUGGAGGAAUGAUGAAUUUAUGUAACCUACAGAAAGAGACGAUCUCUUAAGAUGACUAUAUUCCUCUGUAAGGGCUGCCAUAACAGUGCCACUAACUGGGUGGCUUAAGCAACAGAAAUGAAUUGCCUCACGGAAGGCCAAAGUCCAAAACCAGGUUGUGGCAGGCUGGUGCCUCCCGAGCCCUGGGAAAGAAGGGAUCUGUUUCAGGUCCCUCUCCUUGCCUUGCAGACGGCCAUGUGCACGUGCACACGGCGUUCUCCAUGUCUUCCUGUCUUCUUCCCUCUGAGCAUGUCUGUGCCCAAAUUUCCCCUUCUAAUAAAAACAGCAGUCAUAUUGGAUCAGGGCCCACACGGAUGACCUCACUAUUACCUGGCCUCUGUAAAAACCCUAUCUCCACAUAAGAUCAUAUUCUGAGGUCCUUGGAGUUAAAACUGCAGCCUACAACUGUUGGUGGGACACAGUUCAACCCAUGACAAUGACCUUGACCUCAUAUCCAAGAACGUGACAUGGCUGGUCUCCUAACUGCUAGGAAGACAAGUGCUGGGAUUGAGAGUCGAGUAUCUGCCAAGCCCACCUUUCUUUUAAGAGACCUGCUCCGCUAUAGAGGUCAGUCCUCAGCAGUCACUUUAGAGCCUCGUGAACCUUGACCUUUGUUAAUUGUUCCACAGUGGGCACGUUACUCAGCGAAGGUACUCAGAUUCACCUGGGAAUUUCUAAUUGGUGGACCAAGGGCAGCUGCUCUGUCCGGUUGGGUUGCUGGACUGGAUACACAUGAACGCAGCAGCCCUGGGCAGCUCCUCCGGGCCUGGCCUUCGCCCGACCCAAUCCAUGUUGUUGUAGGUUCUCCUUAGGGUUCUAGGAGAACCUACUACACUUUCAAUAAAUUCUCCUCUCUCUUUCUCUCUCGUUAUUUGUGUGUAUGUCUCCUGAAAAAGUUUAACAUCUAUUUCUCUUCCUGGCAGCAACAACAAAAAACUUAGGUAAGAGAAGCACAGCUUGAUAGAUAACAAUGUUAUCAGACAUUGUUUUUAAUAAACGUUUCUCUUUGAAUCCGAACAUAUAGAAAAAAUAGGCAGAGCUAAUUCUCAUGAACUCUGAUCCACCAGAGUCCCCCCCAGAUCCACCCCACAGCCAUCCUGCCACUGAGGGAUCUCUCUGCAACCGAGUCUUUUUAUAAAUUGUGGCUUAAAAACCAUGGCAGCUCGGUGCCCCCUCAUUCCUAGGUGUUUCUAUUUUAUUUUGGGUAUGCUAAAAAUAUAUUGAUUUCAUUCAAAAGUAACUGAGUUUAAGAAAAUUAUUUUCUAUGCCUAAAAAGAAGCCUGGGAGAGCCAAUACGUUUUCAAAUAGAUGAGAACACAACAUGAGGUGAGCUGAGCAAAAUUUCCCGCAAGGUCCUUAGGAGACAAGGGGCUUCAUAUUUCUGACUGUAUCUCUUGUUUAUUCAAAUUUCCAGGGCCUAUUUGUCAUUUUCAGUAACACAGAGUUUGAUAACUAAAGGAAAGUAGAUUCUAAUUGCAAAUAAUUGGUUACUAUUAUAAAAGUGGCAGUGUUUAAAAAUAUGUGAAUGCUGUUAUUAAUUCAGCAAGAUGUGUUAAUAAUUAUUAGUAUCUUUCUCUUAUUUUUGUGAUGAUCCUGAAUUGCUCCAUGGUCCUUCUUUUCAACAGGAAUGUGUCCUGAUGGUUCAUCUUUAAUUGGUUAUUCUUUUUGGACUUAAAAAAAAAUCAUGGGUAGAAACCAAAAGGCCUAAACUGCCUUUAAAUUUCUUUUUAGAUUAUUGGAGUGACAUUGGUUAAUAAAAUUAUAUAGGUUUCAGAUGUACAAUUCUAUAUACAUCAUCUGUAUAUUGUAUUGUGUGUUUACCACCCCAAGCAAGUCUCCUUCCAUCACCAUUUAUUACCCCCUUCUAUCUUCUCCCAACCCCCUUCUCUCUGAUCUAAAUAAACUUACUGGUCCUUAGACUCUUUGUCUGUAAAAUAAAAGGUCUAAGCUAUAA